ensembl:lncRNA
AUACACCAGAACUCAGGACAGAAGAGCUGUGAUGACUGCCUGAGCCAAGCUUCAUUCCUCCAGUUAAGCAUGCUUCUUUUUCAAAAAAUGAAGAGGGUGGGAGGGGAGCUUCAACAAACCCUACCUUUAUUUGUGCAACACGUUGGGAACAGUUCCAACGAGAAUUUCUCAUGCUCCUUCACGUUCCCUGAAUUCUGUUGGUGAUCAUGUGAGGACACAGCCACAGUGUUUGUCUCUUCUGCUAUGUGAGGAUGCAGCAAAGAGUCCCUCAUCAGACACCAAAUGCCAGCGCCUUGAUUCUGGACUUCCCAACCUCCAGAACUGCAAGAAAAAAAAAAUUUCUAUUGAUUUUUAAAUUAUCCAGUCUGUGGUAUUUUGUCAUAGCAGCAUAAAUGGACUAAGACACAUAUCUACCUUCUAAGCAUUCCAGGGUGAUUAAUUUAAGAUAUGCCUAGCAUUUGGUAGAUGAUAAUUAACAAACUGAUUUUGAAAUUGGGAUGAGAGAUAGAGAAGAAGAAUAACUUGGCUGUGGUAUUUCCUAUGUUGUGAUUUGGAGAGAAUCAUGUAAUCCAUCAUGUUCUGAUCUAUAAAAUGUGUAGUUGGAUAAGAUGAUUGUUACGACCACAAUCAUGUCUUAAGUUUUAUGACUACUAAUGAUGGUGGUGGUGGUGGCCUAUCUAGAGCAGCUGCUGUGGAGAUGCUAGCUGCAGCAGGGGAGGUGUGGCCAGGGCUGCAUGCUCCGUGGAGCCAAAGGGAGUUAGGAGCAGGCAGGAGAACCAACCCCUACUCAACUAGCAGGUAGGAGUCCUGUGCUCCUGGGUACAACUGCAGCCACCCAGCCACAGUUCUGGACCUUGGCAUCCAUGAACUCUCUGGGGCCCAGAAAUCCCCCCUGUCCCACUAGGCUCAGAAGUGCUUACUUCCACACCUUGGCUUUUCUCUGCUCCCAGUGCCCACUCUAAUUUCGGAGCAAAGUUGUGACUGAGUCAGAACUGUUGUAACCUGGUCAGGUGUGUGUGCACUCAGGGCUGUGCUGACACACCAGCCCCCUGCUACCUUGGCCCCCUCUAGACUUUAGGCACUGACAAGCAUGGGAGGGAGGCCAGGGUUGCUGAGGGCAGGUUGGAAUGAUCCUGCAGGAGCCCCUCGUUGCAAACAGCUUGGGUGCCGUGGAUGGUAUGUCGUUGGUGGCAGGAGGCAGACAGGUUCCUAGGCAGGAAGGAGCAGGUCCCCAGUGAAGCCCACCUUGAAGCCAGGGAUGGCCUGAAGCCUUGGGACCAGGCUGCCACUUCUGGGUAGAGUCCAUGACCCAGAGUGAGAACUUAUGGUGCUUUUUCCAGGCCCACCCAUGGCUGCCCAUGGAGCACUCAGCAUGCUCUUCCUCCCUUCUGAGUGCAUAAAAACUCCAGACUCAGCCAGGCUCAGACACUUGUUGGAUGACCUGCCUGCAGAUAGGAGCUACCCACUUCAGGUCUUCUCUACACUCAUCAGGAUGACUUGCCUGAAGAAAGGAGCUGCCCAGCUUCGGGUCUCCUCUCCACUGAGAGCUGGACACUUGUUGGGACAACCUGCCUGCUGAAAGAAGCUACCCACUCCAGGUCUCCUGAGAGCUGUUUUGUCAUUCAAUGAAUCUCCUCUCCACCUUGCUUACCCUCCAGCUGGCCAUCUACCUCAUUGUUCCUGGUCAUGGAACAAGAACUCGGUCCUGCUAAAUAGCGGGACUGAAAGAGCUCUAAAACAAAUAAGGUUGAAACACGCCUCCCACUCGCCACGUUGCAGGUGACUAUAAGGAGAGAAGAGCUGUGGGUCUUUUGGGAGCCCAGACCUUGUGGCUCCAUAAGCCAGGGUUGUGAUACUGCAUCAUCAUCUUUGGGACUCUGUGGUUCCUGGCAUCUUUGAGCUUUUGGGUGACAUCAUGUUCCCCUUGUCCAACUGCUGCUGCCUACACUGGAAGCUGCUUGUGGCAUAUCUGGUCCAGCUGCAGCCUCAAACCCUGUGCUCACUUGCUCACAUACCCCUUGCGACUCUGCACCUGACUCACCUUUAGCAGGGAUGGAAUCUGGGCCAGUAACAUGACCCACACUUCCAGAAUACCAAAAGUGUUCUGGAAGUACUUUACCCUAGAUGCUAGGUUUUUGACUUUCACCUCAAUGUAAGGAUCCCCCAAAAUUUACUCUUCUAAAAAACAAAUGAUGAAUGGCAAAAAUGGUAAAAAAUCAACUUCUUUGGUACUUUGGAAAUUGAAUGAAGGUUUGCAACAAUCCAAGGAGCAUUUAUUCAACAAAAACAGCUGAAUCUUUGUAAAA